CAGAUUGUGAUGGAAGAUGACUGGAAAGUGUGCAUUAGAUCAGGGCAUUCUCCAUAUCCUGAAAUCAGCCAGACUGAGACAACUCUCCAUCAGGGGAUGUAAGUUCCAUGUCCAGGCAUCGCUGAUCAGAACCAAAAGGAUGUAAACUUCAGACGCUGGUCAAAGGUUGAGUGUGGAUGGGGAAAGCACUGGGCAGAUGGUUGCUGUCCCUCUGGGCGGUCUGUAGAUGACCCAGUGGAGCAUAGUGAGUCUAUGCCAUCUGGACCACCAGGCUCACAGGAAAGAGCACAGAAAGG